rnacentral:tRNA from 1 species
GGAAGUGGAAAGCUCACUGGUGGAGCUCCCGGACUUCAAAUCCGGUGCAACGGGCUAAAACCUCGUUGGGUGGGUUCGAUUCCCAUGCACUUCCGCCA